CGGAACCUCCGGUCGGGGCGCGUUCCCGGCACGCCCCGGCCACGAAAGGGCUCCGGCACAUGCCGGAGCCCUUUUUCGUGA
rnacentral:sRNA from 1 species